GGUGUGUGUGUGUGUGUGGGUGUGUGUGGGUGUGGGUGUGGGUGUGGGUAUGUUUGUUUGUGUGUGUGGCUUUUCAGAGGGCACAGUUUUUCUCCGAGUUGAACUACUCACCGACUGACUGCCCCGAGGGGCUGAAGAUGCUGCCCCAGUCGGUGGCGAGGUUCGGCGCAACAGCUCGCUUGUAGCCAGAGUCUGGCACUGGACGCGCGCCGUGACUGUGCAACUGUCUUCACGAGAAUCACGUGUGCCCGCUAGGAUUACCCUUCCUGUGUGUGUGCCCUGACCAGCCCGACACUGCCUCAGCCUGGAAGACGUUCAGGUCAGGUUCUGCUUCUCGACCGGUGUGUGCUGUGCCUGAAUUUGUGCGUCAGGCCAGCUAAAAAGAAGGCGUGAAAUGAAGUGUGUCCCUUGGACAAGAGAAAAGAUGGAACCACCAGUCCAGCCACCACCACAACCCCCAAACCCGAACCUCAGCCAGAGGCGUGGACUAGAGUCCCAGGGUCCUGGCAUACUUGCUCCAUGCUGACAUGUCCCUAACACAGGGCACGGUGUGACUGUCUCUUCUGCAGCCUGGCUGUUGAGGAGCUCAGCUGUGCUGGUAUAUACAGUUUUAUUACCCAAACACUCAGGUAAGUGUCAAAGCCCACUGUCUGUAGACAAGGAAACAAACGGAAAGGUUUAGGUCGCUGGUGCAGGAAAGGGUGGAUCUGGGCAUCACACCUCCGUUUCGCCUGACUCCAAAGCCCGACUUUGCACUCACAGUGAUAUUCCUGGAUUGUGUUUCAGCUGCUGAAAUGCAUAUAUUGUUCCAGUAUUGUAUAGUCAUCAUGGUCCCAACACCUGUCCACCUUGAAAUGGAGGUACUCAGCAACCUUGAAAGGUUCUAAGAUUUUGUGUCUGUCCUCUGAUGAGCUGCCCUGAAGCCAACAGACCUGGAGUCCCUUGGCAUGGAAGGCUUGCCUCAGAACCAACAGCCAAGCAGGACUUCAAUGUCCAGGGCUCCCCCCAUGGAGUGGUACUUUGCCAUGUUAGAGAGCCUUUGCAAGCAACCCCACCACCCAAAUUAGGUCUCUACCUGUCUCACUGGUGACCAGGUAUUACGAAUUGAGAGGCAAGCAGAGGAAGUGCUUUUAGUAGCUGCAUCACAGCCGUAGCACUGACCAGACCCCACUGGUGAUUUGAAGCCCAGUAGCCCAAGGACUGCAGUCCGACUCUAACUAGGUGUCUCUCUCUGUUCUUCGGCGUGCACGUCUGUACACUGUGGGUGAGCAAAGUGCCUGUGUCAUCAGCCUCCCCAGCCUUGAGAGGUGUGUCCUGACCAAACACACACACACACACACACACACACACACUUAAGUAGGGGUAAGAGGCCCUGCUCUGUGUCCCUAAGGUACUGUGAUUUCAAUUCUGCCACCGCUCUUCUCACACAGUGUGCAGUGGUCAUCUGCUUGCAGACUACACCCUGUGUGAUCCCUGUGUCCCCACUGAGUCCAGUGAACUGACACAUGAAUUCGGGUGGUGCUUAGAACAUGUUUCUUCAGCGAAGGAGGGACCUUCACCCAGGGUCCUUCAUCCCAAAGGGCAGCUCAUGUACCGGUUAUGACACAGGAGGAUGGAGUAAACAGGACAUCUCUGUACUCAGAUUCUCUGUGAGGAGGAGGAAGAUUGGAUUUUUUGUACCAUCUCUAAUUCCAGAAACUUAAAGAGGCUAUAAAGGGAUUUUCAAUGUGUGGGUCACUGUUGCCCCGUCGGCCACAGUUCUGGUCUCACAGUGGAACUUGGGUCAAGAUCCUUGGAGCUCCAGGCAACUCAGAGAAUGUUUUCCAAGUCCCGAGCGACUGGUGCACAGAGUAGGUGCCCACAGUGAUCUGUCCAGUAGGUGGAUUGUUGAGUGAAUUAAGGCUGCUAGUUAAAUAUGGGAUGCUCUGGCAAGAGCACAAAUCCCCUUGGGGGACGGGACAUGAGCACAUGGGUGAAGGCUGUGUCAAUCCAGGUGACUGCUGUCAGCCUCACAAGAAGGCGCUCCUCCUCACUGUCCUUCCAGCUCUUUGUCCAAACCUGCCUCUUCUCUAAGUGGUCCUCUCCAUGUCCCUUCUCUGCCUAACUUACAGCCCGAUACAGGCUGUCAUUCGGCAUCUGUGAUCCUUGGGUGUCCUUUGCAGUCCAGCUGACUGAACAGAAGCUGACUCAGCACAGCAGGAUCUAGUGCCUGUCACCCGUUGUUCUCCCCUGCUUUCUGUUAGGCUCUCACUCCCUUCCCCUACCCCCCAGCUGCUCCAGCCUUCUGGCAGUAUCUGCACUGUUUCUGGAAGCCUCUGCCUCAGACACUUCUUCCCAACUGUUCCCUCUUGACAGGAAAGUCCUGACCCCAGAAAUGUGCUUGUCAGAUUCCUCUCCCUGUUCACAAUGUUUGUUGAAAGGUCACCUCUUCGUGAACCCUGAAUUCAUACCCUUGGGGAUACUUUCUAGGUUCUGCUUUUGGGGCUGACAGAUCACCUGGAGAGGCAUUGCCAGCAAACGUGCGGGCGCCUGGGUCUAAGAGCCAAAGAGUUUGUCUAGAACCAAAGAGAAGAACCUGGAGAAUGUCCUAAUAUUCUGACUAAAAGGCAGAGGGGCACCCAAGAAAACGGGAGGUCAAAUUAUCACCGAAGGCAGGCCAGCCCCUGAGCAGCUCCUCAAAUGAGUGGAAUUGUGUUCAUGCAUCACUUGUAGCCUGAACCAUGGGCCCUGAAUGCUGAGGGAAGAUCCCUGCUCUCCAGUAGCCAUAGUCUGACCAGAAACUCAGAGGAUAAGGCCCUGCCUGCAAUAGCUGAGUGCCUGUUGUCUUUGGGGCCACUAUGUCCAGACCUGGCCAUGCAGCUUCUGUUGUUCUAAGAUGGGGAUGGCAGUACCUGCCUUCCUUGCUUCCAGGGCUCUUCUGACAAACACAGGACGGAAAGCGCGCGCGCACACACACACACACACACACACACACACACACACACACACAGAUCAGAGAACUGGAAAGAACCUAGGUCCUUGACAGCGUCACCAGACCCCGGAAUAUGCCCCGCCUGCACCCACCCUUACUUCUGAUUUCAUUGUGUGAUUGUGAAUUGCCUUUGUGAUUAGACCUGUUUGAGGAGGGGUUUCCUCUUUACUCACAGCACAAAGCAGACUUCUGGAUAUGGGGAGCAUCGUGGGGUUUGGUUUUCUUUUCUGUGGGAGCCAUGUCGUGUCGUGGGUAAGGGCACAAGCUCUAUUCCUAAACAACCUUCCUUCCAACUCAGUUCUGCCACUUGCAGUCCUGUCAUUUUGAGAAAUGUACCUGGCCCUGUGCCUUACUAUCCUCACCUGUGAAAUGGGCUUAUUAUUCUUAAUAGUGACAAUACCAAGCAGAGAGGGUUGCAUUUGUGAAUACAUAAUGAGGUAAUGCAAGUAUGGUUCACAGAAUUGCAUCUGCCACAUUCCCUAUCUUUACACCUACUGAUGCUGCCAUGGGCAGGUCAGGCUUUACACCACGUGAGCUAGAGCAAAGAACAUAAAGAUCACAUUACACGUCUGUGUUCAGCCCUAGAAACUCUCCUCCUCUGCCAUACAUUCUCAUCCUUUGCGUCAUGCACGGACGAUCCGUCACCAGGGGGCUGACUCUCCCACCUGGGGACCACAAAUACACACCGUCUUACACUGUGUGCAUCAAUUCAGUACACUCCAGUUAUGUCCUCAGAUAGCCUGCCCUGGUCCUGGUGCCGGGGUGGGGGUGGGGGGUACCCCAGAGCAGGUAACGGAGCACAUGAUGUUCCCUUACACCCACACGGCAUCGGAAGCUGUCCGCAUCCUAGUGCCUGCCUUUCUUUCCAGACUCGCCUCCCUCCGCC